AGCACUGCAGUGGACAAAUGGAAAGAGAGGAUCUGCUGACAGAGAUGGCAAUAUAUUUUCUCCUCUGAAAAAGAGGUCUGAAGAGCAGAGGAGCCUGUUUAGCUAAAGCACCUGGAUUUUCCAUGGGAGGAGAGUGAUGAGGAAGAAGGCUGGGACAGGUGCUCCCUUCUUUCAAUGAUGAAUCCAGUCAGUGUCUGGCUUCAGAACAUUUGCUAUUUGAUAUCCGAGAUACGUACAACAUGUUCACAGUGAAUUCUCCAACUGAAAACAGCAGAGUUCAAACCAAGUCAAUUAAUUCACAGAGUGAAUGGAUUCAAGCCCAGAAUCUCAUGCCUCGUCAAGGCCUCUUUGAUGCGACUGCCAACAGAUAUCUGUUUAUAAAUGCAGUAAAUGUAACUAUUUGAUACUUAUAGCUCUUACAGUCUUAUGUGAUUCUGCCACACACACCCUUGUUAUGGCUGAUCUCUGAUAAUUGAGUUACAUUUUGCAGACAUUUCUAGCAUUUCUCUCUCUCUCUCUCUCUCUCUCUGA